rnacentral:rRNA from 1 species
AGCAGCCGCGGUAAUUCCAGCUCCAAUAGCGUAUAUUAAGGUUGUUGCAGUUAAAAAGCUCGUAGUUGAAUUUCGGGAUCAAUAUGUUUGGUCGUGCCUCGGUACGUACUAGCUUAUUGGUUUCUCCUUUCUGAAGAACCAUGAUGUCAUUCAUUUGGUGUCGUGGGGAAUCAGGACUGUUACUUUGAAAAAUUAGAGUGUUUAGAGCAGGCUCACGCUUGAAUACAUUAGCAUGGAAUAAUGAAAUAGGACGUUUGAUUCUAUUUUGUUGGUUUCUAGGAUCGACGUAAUGAUUAAUAGGGAUAGUUGGGGGCAUUAGUAUUUAAUUGUCAGAGGUGAAAUUCUUGGAUUUAUUGAAAACUAACUACUGCGAAAGCAUUUGCCAAGGAUGUUUUCAUUAAUCAAGAACGAAAGUUAGGGGAUCGAAGACGAUCAGAUACCGUCGUAGUC